UUUGAUCCUGGCUCAGAUUGAACGCUGGCGGCAGGCCUAACACAUGCAAGUCGAGCGAGAAAGUUCUUCGGAACGAGUACAGCGGCGGACGGGUGAGUAACGCGUAGGAAUCUACCUGGUAGUGGGGGACAACAUGUGGAAACGCAUGCUAAUACCGCAUACGACCUAAGGGUGAAAGUGGGGGACCUUCGGGCCUCACGCUAUCGGAUGAGCCUGCGUAAGAUUAGCUUGUUGGUGAGGUAAGAGCUCACCAAGGCGACGAUCUUUAGCUGGUCUGAGAGGAUGAUCAGCCACACUGGGACUGAGACACGGCCCAGACUCCUACGGGAGGCAGCAGUGGGGAAUAUUGCGCAAUGGAGGCAACUCUGACGCAGCCAUGCCGCGUGUGUGAAGAAGGCCUUAGGGUUGUAAAGCACUUUCAAUUGGGAGGAAAGGUUGUAAUUUAAUAGAUUGCAACUGUGACGUUACCUUUAGAAGAAGCACCGGCUAACUCCGUGCCAGCAGCCGCGGUAAUAAGGG
rnacentral:rRNA from 1 species